rnacentral:hammerhead_ribozyme from 1 species
AUCCAGAUGACGAGUCCCAAAUAGGACUAAAUACUAAUCCUGGGU